rnacentral:pre_miRNA from 1 species
UGAUGAUGAUGAUGGUGAGGAUGAUGAUGAUGAUUAUAGUGAUGGUGAUGAUCCCCAUCACCAUGAUCAUCGCCAUCACUAUCAUCAUCUUCA